rnacentral:rRNA from 1 species
AUUGAACGCUGGCGGCAGGCCUAACACAUGCAAGUCGAGCGGUUGAGGUAGCUUGCUACCGAUACAGCGGCGGACGGGUGAGUAAUACAUGGGAAUCUGCCUGGUAGUGGGGGACAACGUUUCGAAAGGAACGCUAAUACCGCAUACGCCCUACGGGGGAAAGGGGGGGAUCUUCGGGCCUCUCGCUAUCAGAUGAGCCCAUGUCAGAUUAGCUUGUUGGUGAGGUAAAGGCUCACCAAGGCGACGAUCUGUAACUGGUCUGAGAGGAUGAUCAGUCAAACUGGAACUGAGACACGGUCCAGACUCCUACGGGAGGCAGCAGUGGGGAAUAUUGGACAAUGGGCGCAAGCCUGAUCCAGCCAUGCCGCGUGUGUGAAGAAGGCCUUAGGGUUGUAAAGCACUCUCAGUGGGGAGAAAGGCCUUUUACUUAAUACGUAAGAGGAUUGAUGUUACCCACAGAAGAAGCACCGGCUAACUCCGUGCCAGCCGCCGCAGUAA